GACGAACGCUGGCGGCGUGCUUAACACAUGCAAGUCGAACGGUAAGGCCCUUCGGGGUACACGAGUGGCGAACGGGUGAGUAACACGUGGGUGAUCUGCCAUGCACUUCGGGAUAAGCCUGGGAAACUGGGUCUAAUACCGGAUAGGACCACUGCCUGCAGGGGUGGUGGCGGAAAGCUUUUGCGUUGUGGGACGGGCCCGCGGCCUCUCGGCUUGUUGGUGGGGUGAUGGACUACCAAGGCGACGACGGGUAGCCGGCCUGAGAGGGUGACCGGCCACACUGGGACUGAGAUACGGCCCAGACUCCUACGGGAGGCAGCAGUGGGGAAUAUUGCACAAUGGGCGCAAGCCUGAUGCAGCGACGCCGCGUGAGGGAUGACGGCCUUCGGGUUGUAAACCUCUUUCAGCACCGACGAAGCGCAAGUGACGGUAGGUGCAGAAGAAGGACCGGCCAACUACGUGCCAGCCGCCGCUGUAA
rnacentral:rRNA from 1 species